rnacentral:rRNA from 1 species
GGAGUUAGCCGGUGCUUCUUCUGCGAGUAACGUCACAGAUGUAAGGUAUUAACUUACACCCUUUCCUCCUCGCUGAAAGUGCUUUACAACCCGAAGGCCUUCUUCACACACGCGGCAUGGCUGCAUCAGGGUUUCCCCCAUUGUGCAAUAUUCCCCACUGCUGCCUCCCGUAGGAGUCUGGGCCGUGUCUCAGUCCCAGUGUGGCUGAUCAUCCUCUCAGACCAGCUAGGGAUCGUCGCCUAGGUGAGCCUUUACCUCACCUACUAGCUAAUCCCACCUGGGCUUAUCCAUCAGCGCAAGGCCCGAAGGUCCCCUGCUUUCCCCCGUAGGGCGUAUGCGGUAUUAGCAGUCGUUUCCAACUGUUAUCCCCCACAAAUGGGCAAAUUCCCAGGCAUUACUCACCCGUCCGCCGCUAGUCAUCUUCAAAAGCAAGCUUUUGAAAUGUUACCGCUCGACUUGCAUGUGUUAGGCCUGCCGCCAGCGUUCAAUCUGAGCCAUAAUCAAACUCUGA